AGCUUUGCAAGGUGGCAGUAUUGUAGCCAGUGAGGUUUAUCUGAGGUGCAGUUUUUACUAAUAGAAAACUUUUCCCAAUACCCUGCCGUGACGACUUGAAAUAUAGUCAGCACUGGCAAUUUUUGACAAUCUCUACAGAGA